rnacentral:lncRNA from 10 species
GAGUAACCUCCUGGGUCCUGGGAGGCGUGGCAUUCCCUGGGGUCAGGGCUGCUGGCUCAGUGACAGUCCAACAUCCAUGUUGGUGUAGCUCUGCCUGCAGGUGGGUUCUGGGGAGCAGUGGUGCCUCCUCCUCUUCCUUCAGAGGCCUAGGAUCUGGGGAGGCUGAGACCUGAGGGAGAGAGAAGGAAGGUAAGGUAACAGGUCAGGGCUCACCCCACGGGGAUCCGGAAAAGGCUGGCCAGGCAGAUCCAGGAGCCCUGGGGUCUGACCGGGUCAUAAACUCACCCUGUGACUUACAUCUCUCUGGAGUGUGUAUCUGUAGUGUAAAAUCUCCACACUGCCUGCUUUAAGGCCCUCAACGGGUAAGUGAGGGUGUAGCUGGUCAGACAGUGGACUGUAUCCACAAAGUGCUUUCACAGAGGAUGCCAGUGUAAGGCAUGAAAAGGAGGGUCAUUUCACAGAUGAAGAAACCACAGCCCAAGAAGGGGAGAGAGUUGUUUCAGAGAGUGGUGUCCUUUGCAGACAAUGUGCCUCCCACUCCCCAAGGCCCUCACAGGCCAGAGGAGAAAGGCCCCCAGGGAUGCACCUGGUCCUAUCAGGGAGUGGGCAGCAGGCCUUGGCCUUUCCCCUCAGCCUGCUCCUGUCCGCUAGGCCCCACCCAGGCCAUCCACAUGAGGGCUGUGUUCCUCCGCCUGCCUGCCUGGGGCCUGGCUCCUUUUUCUAUUCCAGGCUGCUGGCAUGGCUGACUCAGCCAGUUCAUCCCUGCCAACAGCCACUGGCCAUGGUGUCCUCACCGGGACAGUCCUUGCUUCAGAUCAGAUGGUAAGUGAAAAGCAGAUCCAUGUCAUCUCUGACUCCUGUUCAGCAUUCAUCUGCCCAGACAGUGGGGCACUAGGGGCUCAGUGGCUGCCACCUGCCUCCAGGCUAUAGCCACUGCCCAGGUCUCUAUGCCAGGGCAAAA